CCUCCACCCAGAAAUGAGAACCGCACGCUCGGAUUAAUCCACCUGUCGAGUCCGCGAAGACCCCCGCUGGCUGGCCACGGCCAGGAGCUCAGGAGCACACCGAUGGCUACAAAGGUGGCAGUCAUCGGUUCAGGUGACGUUUCCUUGGCACGCGCUCCACAAACGCUUCGUUCGCGCAGCUGGCGGCGGGACCGUUUGUCACCGGCCUGUCUUUACGGUCACGCCCACAACUACGAGAACCCAAGGAAAGAUUUGCAAUAUUGUCAUUUUUCACAUUGAAUCAAUUUGUGCACAAUAAACAAAUCAUGUUUUUUCUACGUUUUGUCACAUAUUUAGCACGUUCCUAAUGAAUUGAAAUUGUUGCACAUUUAUUUGCAAAGCCUUCCCUUGACUGGAGUUUUGGACGGGAGUGAAGCGGGCGAGACGAAAACGACCGAGGCUCCCGAGGCGACAGAUCGGUGGCACGGAUCAACAACAUUGGGCUUUAUCGCCACGACGACGGCGGCGGAGGCGGAGGGACCAGCUGCUCGGAGAGCGCGCAGCGCAGUAGGCGAUGGGCGGACGGAACGGCCGCUGACACGGACGCCUGAAGCCUUGCUGGAAAAAAAAAAAAAAAAAA